UGUAUUCGCAUUCUAAGGGGGUGUUUGGUAUUUGGAAAAUGGGAUUGUUUUUCCAAAUACCAAACACCUAGAGAGACUUGUGCAAGAUUUAGGGUUAUUUGGGCAAAUCGCGUUUCCUGCAAAAUCGAGUCAAGAGCUCUGUGCUAAACAUAGGGUUACUUGGGCAAAUCAGUUUAAGAGUUGGAGCUAGCUGUGGUUUCUAAAUCGAGUUAAAGGUUUGGCAAAUCAGUUUAAGAGUUGAGCUUAUACACACUGCGGUUUCGAAAUCGAGUUCUAGGUAUCGUACUAUACAUUUCGUUUUGGAGAUACUGUUAUGCUGAACCUUGUUCUUUUUGCCUUGAAACUUCAUUUUUUAUACUUUCGACGCUGAUUAAUAGUUAGUUUGUAUCGAUUGUUUGAAAAACGGAGUUGCAGAAGUGUUUAUUUAUUUAUUUAAAAUUGAUUGUAACUUAUUUGCUAAUUGCUAUCCGUUACUGUUGUUUACAUCCCUUAUAAGCAAGAUUAUAAACAAGCAUAACAUUUAGUAACAUUUCAGUGAUAGAGAAACAUUUUAGUGAUUAGAAGUUUGGUUGCAUAUGCUAGACAUUAAGUAACAUUUAUGUACAUUAUUUACUUAUUAGCCCAAAAGUUCUGCAUAUGGCGGACUCAAAACCACUUGCUAGAUAAUAACAAUGUUUAAGACAAAAUACCAACUCUUUUUAAAUAAAUAGUAGCAUGAGUUUGUUUUCUAAUCAAUUUGAACAAAACUCCAAGUGGUUCAAUUCUGGUAAACUUUACUAUGUUAGUUGAAACUCUUAGGGGGUGUUUGGUUUUAGGGGGUUUGGAUUUUGAAGGAUUUGAAUUUGAAAUCCACUCAAAUACCAUGUUUGGUUAAAAAGAAGAUAGCGUUCCAUAUGAUUUGUUUACAAAAUAUCAACUCUUCAUACAAGUAAUUUUUUUUCUCUCCAUGAAACAUGUUCGGUUUCAACCUAGUGCUGAAAUGGUCUCAAUCUUCCUUUUUCAUUUUUGACAUUAUUGGGUUAAAGAAAACAAAUGUAAGCCCAUAAAUCAAAAAUAUUACACCUGUGAAGCAUUUCUAUAGGUUCAGAAUAACAUAUAUCAUUCAUUGGUUUUAUGUUCAUAAAAGAAUUGCUAUGAACUGAAUUUUAAGAAAUAACCAACAGCAAGAGCAAUAAUCAAAAGCUUACUGUAUUGAAUAGAAGGUGUAAAAGCUGCACUUUAAUCCACAAAACUUUACUAAUCCAAUAUCCUCCACAAUUCAAUAGAAGGUGUAAAAGUUGCACUUUAUUUAUUUUCAUAGCAGUUAGUAAAACAUUAGUAAUUGUUUUCUGAUAGACCCUGAUACAUUUUUGCAUAAGAAUCAGAUUUCAUUGAUAAUCAAGCUAUGAAACAGAUAAAAGAUAUUAGGGUUUUUCCAUUCAUUCGAGUGGAAUGGACUCUCCAAGAAGAACAAUCUUCAAUUCAUAAUAAUUCUUAGCAAUCAAAACAAAAACCUCCAUGGGGUACUCUUUACGUCAACAUUAUUCACAGGGAUUGUUCAUCGUUAUUUAGGGUAUGGAGAUGGUGAACAACACUGAUCAAAUCACUCGGCUGGAGACGGACUUGGCUAAACUCCGCCGGUAUCUUUUAAUUUAGGAUAGGUUUAUCUAUUAACACUUANNNNNNNNNNNNNGGUUUUGAAAUGACUUUUUGAUUAAGAUGGAAUAAGAAUUAUAGAGUUUUGCUCUGUUUUGAGAGAAUCCCUUAGUCUCGAAUAACAGGUCUUAUCAAAGCUCUUCUCCCAAUGGAGAGCUCCAGGUAUUUGGGGUCAAUGAUCCACAAGGGUAGUGGAGGUAAAUAUUACACAUCCUAUAAAGGCAGGUUGCCUGAGCAAGAAGGACCACAAGAGAGAUGGUAGUAGCAACAAGAGAGAUAGUAGUAACAAAAAUGAGUAUGUUGAGGUGGACUUGUGGCACGACUCUGCUAACUAGGACACCAAAUGUAGCUAUAAGAAAUGCAUUGAGUGUGACACAAAUCACUAAAAAAUUGAGAGAAUGAAGACUUAGGUGGUAUGAACAAAAGGAGGCCCCUAUCUGCAACGGUAAGGAGGGUGAAGCCAAUGGUUGUUCAAUGUAGGAGGAGGAGAGGACAUCUGAGAAGGAAGUGAGAUGAUAGUAUAUGGCCAUAUAUGGAGGAGCUUGCUCUUUCUGAGGACAUGACCUCAAAAAGGAGGGUUAAAUAUUAGGGUUUUUGAGUAACUUCUCCCUUUGUAUAUGUGUCGCGGGGUUUGGUUUUUUGCUGUUAGUAUUUGCUCCUUUUUAUGUGUUACUUCUCUCCCAAACUAUCUUUUCCCUUGUUAGCAUCUUUUGCAGGUUUCCUGGAGCUUCCAUCGAUUCUAUGACUUUUUAAGUGUUUUUGUCUCAAUGCUCAAUUUCACCCACCUCCCCAAUAUCCCAUCCAAAUGGAAUUUGGAUUCCAUGGUUUGACGUCAUUGCUGCAUUUGAAUUGUAGAUAUAAUAAGUAUCAUCAGGUCGAAAUCCAUACGAGGUUUGAAGCAAAAUUAAGUAAAAUUAUGCUGAUAUAAAAGUUCCUCAAAUCCCUAAUUAUCCAAGCAUAAGAUACAUAUUAGCUUCCCUCUUUUCAUUAACAUUAUACGUGUUGUGUUCAAGGGUGGACUGUGCUAUCCCUAAAAAAAAAAUCCUGAGUACAGUAAAAAUUAAUAAAAAAAGGUUUAGUUUAUAAUACUUAGCCCACUUAGCCCAAUGUUUAUACUUCAAAAAGCUAAAAGUCCAAUUAACGUCCAAAUGACUUUGUGAACUGUGAGCUCAUUCAAAAUACCAUGUUGGAAAUAGUGGAGGAUUGGUUUCAUAAAGAAAUGAAAAAACAAAAUCGCUAGAAGCUUGGAACACAACUUCGUUGUUAUCAUUGGACGUGGACGACUGGAAUAGAGAAAGAAAAAUAUCAAUUGUGAAUCACCUGUUGUUGCGGUUUUGACUAUAGCGGAAGAAAUAGAGGUAGAAGGAAGAAAUCGUUGGGAGUUUAGAAAUCACAGACUCCAAAAUCGAGAUCAUGAAACAAAUAAGUUUCCUAUAUGCUUGUUAUGUACCCUAAUUUUAAUAAUAAUAAAUUACCAUGCAUGUAACUUUGAACUUUGGAGCUGUGGUCUUGAUUAGAGGUGUGACUUUGAACUUUUGAGCUGCGAUUUUAAUUUUGAGUAGUGAUUUUGAUUUUAAUUAUAAGCUUGUAGAGUAAUUAAUUUGUGAAGCUCUUCAGGUUUGAAUCGACAAGAUUAAAUUAAAAUCUAAAAUCACUUCUUCAAAUUAAAAUUGUAGUUCAAAAGUUUAAGGUCGCUCUUCUAAUCAAGAGGGUAAAAUCACAACUCAAAAAUUCAAAGUUGAAUGCUUGAUAAUUUGUGAUUAUUAAAAUUAGGGUUCCUAACAGUCAUAUAGGAAACUUACAUGUUUCAUGAUUUCAAUUUUAAAGGCUGCAAUUUUUAACCUUCCAACAAUUUUGUCCUUCUACUUUUUGUUCUUCCACUGUAGACAACACCGCAAAAGUUCAUGCCAUUCACUGUUGAUGUUUUUAUUUCUCUAUUCCAGCCGUCCAGGUCCCGCGGUAGCAGCGAGUUCUGUUCUAAGCUUCUAGCAAUUUUGCUUUUUUCGAUUUUUGAUGAAAUCGGUCCUCCCGCUCUUUCCGAUGUUGCAUUUGAGUGAGCCCACAAAAUCCACAUUUGGACGUUAAUUGGGCUUUUAGCCUUUUGAAGUUUAAACAUUAGGCUAAGUAGUGGCACCUUAAACUAAUCUUUUAAAAAAAAAAAAAUUACAGUAUGCACGAUUUUUUGAGGGGAGCACAGUCUACCCGUGUAUGAUUGUCUUCCGAAUUCUUGAUCACUUGAUCCAUGGUUUGUGCUCUCAAGGAAGAACAUGUAAUGUAAUCCUAGAAAGAUUUGUGAUGAGGUGAAGGCCAAAGGUUUUGUUCCAAGUAGUAAAUCGUAUAACCCGCUUGUGAAUUCUUUAACACUUGAGGGUGAAGUAGAUGAAGCUGUGAGUUACUUGAGGGAGAUGAUUGGAAAUCAAAGGUCGGCUGCAUUACCUAUUUCACUAUGCUUCAUUAGUUUUCCACACAGCAGAGGUGUGGAGAUGCGGUAAAUUUGCUAAAGGAAUUGCAAGACAAAAGCUUGGUGGAUCCAACUACUUACAGGAAGCUUCAACAUCAACUUCAACUCAAUUAUAGAAAUUUAUAUGAUUCAGGAAUUCAUAAAUUUUGUUAUUGGUUAUAUUUUGUGCCAUCUUUUUGUUUAUCAAUGAUAUAUAGUUGCAUUCUCACUACCAUACUGUUAUCAUAAUUAAAAAUUAAAGCGAACAAGUUUUUUAAAGAAAAUGAUAUUGCUAGUGAAGCAAGAGUGCGUUUGACGGAUAAAAGACGUAAAUACCUUGUCAACCCCCACCCCCCACACACAUACACAUACAGUAUAGUUAUGUUGAUGCGGAUUCCAAGGUCAUAUAUGAUCUGGAUUCUGGAAUACAAUUCCCUUUCCUACCCAUGGGUAUAUCAUACCUGCAUAUUAGCCAGUUGGUAUGGUGGGGGCAACAAAGUCAUUUUCAGUCAUUCAUUUGAGUUUUUUCUUUGUGUAUUUUAAAGACAGGUUGGUGUGGGCAUUUAAGUAUAAGAGAUUAUAUUUAGAAAAGCAACUGCUGGUUGUGGUUGUGAAAUCUCUUUCUAAUCAUCACUCCUUCUCUUGUGUGGACCAAUUCAAGAUUCAAAUGUCUGAUCAGUCAUCAUCUGCCACAUUGUAAAUUCCUUUUGAAACUUUUAUAUUUUUAUAAUAUAAAUAAACUAGAGUGCAUGGAAACACUCGAUAUAUAUCUUCAUGAAAAUCGUAACUUUUCCUUUUUUUGCAAAG
rnacentral:lncRNA from 1 species